UACGUAGGUGACAAGCGUUGUCCGGAUUUACUGGGCGUAAAGAGCGCGCAGGCGGUCGUUCAAGUCGAGUGUGAAAGCCCCCGGCUCAACUGGGGAGGGUCAUUCGAUACUGAUCGACUCGAAGGCAGGAGAGGGAAGUGGAAUUCCCGGUGUAGUGGUGAAAUGCGUAGAUAUCGGGAGGAACACCAGUGGCGAAGGCGACUUCCUGGCCUGUUCUUGACGCUGAGGCGCGAAAGCUAGGGGAGCAAACGGGAUUAGAAACCCCCGUAGUCC
rnacentral:rRNA from 1 species